rnacentral:lncRNA from 1 species
UAAAUUAAAACACAAAGUUAAUUAAAUAAUAAAAUUGAAAAAAAAAAUCAUAGAGGGUUUAAAAGCACACAAUCAGAUAUGUCUCCAAAGUCUUAUGCAAUAUAUUUAUACUACCCUUAAACGGACGCGAUAUUGUGGCAAUAUUUCAGUAACAUAAAUUAAUUUACUUCAAAAUCAUCAUUAUUCUUUGGAAACUGAGUUUUAAUUCACUUCUCCCGAAAUUACUGUUGUGUCCCUCCGUUUUUGGGUAGUUGAAUAGGAGGAUCGUAUAAACGAUUUUUGUUCUGAUUGGCUUCUGGGCUCCUCUAGAUCUAGCAUGCUUCCAGGCUCCCGAGCUUUUAGGCGUCUGGACGCUCACUAGCCCUACGCGCACUUGGGCAUCAUUCAGCUCUGCGAGCAUCCGGACAUCUGAGUACUCCCUUGCCCCAUGCAGGCCUGUCGAGUAUCCAGCCUUUUCUUGUACGUGGUCCUUACAAUACUCGACAGGUUAUUCCGCUAAAGUCCAACGGGUCAACAGUAAGAGAAUUCAACCAAAGCUGCUACCGCAUCCCUCUAUCUUGAGCGCUGGACUCCCUCGCAGCUUCUCAAAAUUCAAGCUCUUUCUUCACGCGCUCAGUUCGGUCUUAUGUCUGUCCACCGCUUGGCUAAAUCUGCUCCGAGUGAUUUCUGUCCUGGUUGAUUUGUAGGCUCUUCUAGCCCUAGCAUGCUUCCCUGAGAUUAAAAUUAUGAUAGACUCAUUCUAUAUUCUUUCUUUUUUAUUCACUAUAAAUUUUAGGUCACUUUAUUAUUUAAAAAAUUUAUUUAAAAUUCAUUAAUUUAAAAACAAUUUAGAAAGACAAGUCAUUUAAUUUUGGGUGAGUCUAAUAUACUCGACCUCAUAUAAAAAUGAGUUAUAUAUAUAUAUAGACAUUAAAUUAAAUAUUUUAUAUUAAAAGCAAAAUUUAAUUAUUCAUAUAUAAUGAAUGCAAAAUUUACAUGAAAACAUUCAAUUUAAUAGUGAAGUUCAUUUUCA